AUGAUUCCUGAGGUCACACUGUCGUCUGCUGAUGGUGUUGAUGAGGAAUCUGGCUCUGAUAACAGUGAUCACAAUGUCACUUUGAUCACUGUGUUGGUCGUGGUGUCCUGUGUUUGUGUUGCUGCUGCAGUCAUCAUCAUCAUCCUGCUUAUAAGGAAACAUCAGAACAGG